AGAUAUUGUUUUCGUAUGACCAAUAGUUUGGUUCGGCUCGAUUACUUUGUUAUUGAUUUUUGAAAUUAAAGCCCUGCGGCGAAAUAAAAUAUAAACGCGACUUUAAAGUUGUAAAGUUGUAAACGCAAGUUGAAAGUUGUAAGAAAAUCAGUAGCCAAGUAACCAAAGAGUUUAGAAAUGAAUUGCAUUCAAGUGCUUCAAAAUUCGAACUUUCUGUAUCAAUUAGCUACAAAUAUAGGAAUUCAUUGGAAAGAUUUGGGAAGAACUUUAAAUAUAGAAGAUUCAGUAAUAGAAAUAAUAGGAACAGAAAAUAAAAGAACUGUGGAUCAAGCAUACGAGUUGUUAAAAACAUGGAGAGAUAGCGUUAAUAAUCCAACCACUGAUGAUCUAAGAACAGCAUUCACAACUAUGAAAAGAGUUGACCUUGUGACACUGGUUAAUAAGUUAGAAAAAGAAUAUGUGUUGUAAUAUAUUUUUAUAUUUUGAAGAUUAAGCAAUACAAUUUAA